ensembl:lncRNA
UUGUCCUUCAAUGGGGCCAUGUAAUGGGUCUAAAACGGAGUUCAGAUCAGCCCAGGCUGAUUUAUAUAGAGGCUAUUUAUCUGUUUAUUUAAUAAUAGGCUGUACGGUGCACACAUGAACUGAUAGAUUAUAUUGCACCAACCAGCAGCUACAAGGAAUCAUCGAUAAUCAAUAUCAGUAUCAAAUGUCACCAUUAGGUUGGAUGUGUAUCUCACACACAUGUAAUCAGGGUCCAAGAAGAUAAAGUUUUUUAUUCUGCAUGUUCUCCAGCUUACAUACUCUUAAAAAAGCUUGAUAUUAAUUGGUGCAAAGCAAUUAGCGUCAAUAUAAUUGGCAAAAGUUUUACAGAAAUUUAUUAAGGCACAUAUACACAUGUAUUAAGGCACAUAGUCCAGCUAACAAAAAUUUUCAUCUAUCUUUUCUAAUCCGCUUCCAUGCUGACGACCUUGUCGUCUUCCUUGCUAUGGAUACAUUCAAAAACCAUCAAUUGUUAUUUCUUCUCUUAACUCAGCUUUGCUUGCAGGCCAGCUGUCAAAGCCCUUCCAUAAUCAAAUUGCUGGUGAUUAAUAACAAUGCGGAAAAGCCAAUACAGAAAUGCAGAAGUCAGUUAGUGUCAUUUAUAACCCAUCUCUGCUGCAGGCACAGUGAAAAGCUGGAAGCUCUUGAGGGGACUCAUUCAUCCCUGUCCCUGAGUGUCCCCAGAAUGUCCCUGAGUGUCCCCAGUGACAUCACCCCAGGAACUCCCAUCAGGAUUUGGGACAGUAUCAUUGAAAAUUCCCAGAAAAUUUCCCAAAUCUGUCUCAAAUACUGCACAGGGAGGGCACAGGUGACAGCAGCACUGUCCCUGAUGAUGUCAGUGCUCCCAUGUGAAACUUUCCUGCAGCAGCCUCGGGAUGUCCUGGAUGGCUUUUUGGCACUGCUUGGCCACUGUGCAGCUGCCAGGGCCACCGGGGCCACCACAACCAUCAUAGGGACUCAAGAGGAUGUUGUUGAUGACCCCAAGUGUCCCAAGCAGGUGAUCCUUGGCCAGACGGGUGCUGGCCUCCCACAGCCACUCAAACUUGGCCACUUUGGCUACCAAGGCCUGGAGGACAUCAGGGGACACCUUGUUUGUCCCCUUCAGGAUGGCCUUGAUGUCCCUGAGCCGCCACUCCAUGUUCCAGUAGAACAAGGUGGCUCUGUCACACGUGGCCACCAAGCGCUGCAGCAGUCCCAGGGCCACCACUGCCCAACGUCCCCUCCUGGUGGCCGCCACAGCCUCUCCCAUUCCCUCACUGGUGGCUGCCGCCACCUGGGCAUUGUAUGUGGCCAUUUCCCUGGCCACUUCCUCCUCCUCCAGGGCCACCAUCAGCUGCUGGUUCGCAAUUACUUUCCUGUGGUUGUCACGGAGCUUGGUGGCCUCCCUGGCCAGCCAGUCCCAGCUAUCCACAAGCCUGGCCACCAACUCCUGCCAGGCCUUGGCCACGGCUCUCACAUUGGCCCAGGUGGUCCCAGGGGUGGCGCCGAGGGUGGCCAGGGCCUGGCCCAGGGAGGCGACACCAGGGUGGCCCAGGGAGGUGACACCGCCAUGGUUCAGGAUUGCCCGAAGGCUCUGGGUGAAGUUCUUCAGGUCCUCAUCUAAGAAGUUUGGGGACUUGUUGCUUUGUGGCCCAGUCAUGGUGGCCAGCAGCUCGCCCAGGGUGGCCACCACAGACACCAGCACCUGAAGCUGUGGAGGGGACACCUGUGGAGGAGACAGGGGAGAUGUCAGGGACCUGGUGGCACUUAUGGCCUCCUGCGGUGGCCUCGGUGCCCUCAAGCAGUCCCCUCUGCCCUUCCGACCCUUUGUCAGCGUCUUGUCCCCACUGCCACCUCCCGCCACCCCCCGUGUUCCCCCCACUGUCCCCUCUGUUCCCCUCUCCCCACCAUCGCACCUCUUGGGGCUCCAUGGUCACUGGGGAUACAUUGGGGACACUCUGGGGAUGGUCUGGGGGUUGAAGGAGCCUUGGGAUGUCCUCGAGAGCUCUUUGGCACCGCUCGGCCACCCCACAGGCAAUGGGGCUGGCGCAACCACCGGUGAAAUAGAACUUGAUGAUGUCGUCAAUUGCCCCCAGCAGGUGAUCCUUGGCCAGGCGGGCGUUGGCCUCCCACAGCCGCUCGGCCUCGGCCAACUUGGCCACCAAGCCCUUGAGGACGUUGAGGGAUGCCUCAUUUAUCCCCUUCAGGGCGGCCUUGAUGUCCCUGAGCAGGCGCUGCAGCUCCCGGGGGAACGCGGUGGCUUCAUCAGAUGCGGCCACCAAGCGCUCCAGCAGCCCCAGGGCCGCCUCCACCCGCUGUCUCACCAUGGUGGCCCUUGUUGCCUCGCUGGCAGCCACCAUGGCAUCUCUCCUCACCUGGGCUCCAUGCCCAGCCACCUCCUCGGCCCCCUCCUCCCUGCCCAGGGCCUGACCCAGCUCCACCAUGUUUUCCUGAGCUGUCCCAUCAUGGGCAGCCUCGUCCUGCAGCUCCCUGGCCCGAGUGGCGGCGGUGGCCACCCUGUCAGCCGCCUUGGUGGCCAAAUCCCUGCAGGUGUUGCGGAGCUCGGUGGCUGCCCUGGCCAGCCGGACCCAGCUGUUCACAAGCGCAGACACUGACCACAGCCA